rnacentral:lncRNA from 7 species
GGGGUCCUUAUAGCGUCCCUAUGAGGCCCUUAGAGGGUCCUUAGGGUGUCCUUAGGGUGGUUUUGGUGUUUUAGUAGCGUGUUCUUAGCGUGUGCUUGGCGUGUGCUUGGCGUGUGCUGGGGGCGCUGUCCUCAGGGGUCCCUAUAGCGUCCCUAUGAGGCCCUUAGAGGGUCCUUAGGGUGUCCUUAGGGUGGUUUUGGUGUCUUAGUAGCGUGUUCUUAGCGUGUGCUUGGCAUGUUCUUGGCAUGUGCUUGGCGUGUGCUGGGGGCACUGUCCUCGGGGGGUCCUCAGGGUGUCCUUAUAGCGUCCUUAUGGCAUCCUUAGGGCGUCCUUAGGGUGGUUUUGGUGUGUUAGUGGCGUGUUCUUAGCGUGUGCUUGGCGUGUGCUUGGCAUGUGCUGGGGGCGGUGUCCCUGGGGGUUCCCUAUAGCAUCCCUAUGAGGCCCUUAGAGGGUCCUUAGGGUGUCUUUAGGGUGGUUUUGGUGUCUUAGUGUGUUCUUGGCAUGUGCUUGGCGUGUGCUUGGCAUGUGCUGGGGGCGCUGUCCUCAGGGGGUCCUUAUAGCGUCCCUAUGAGGCCCUUAGAGGGUCCUUAGGGUGUCCUUAGGGUGGUUUUGGUGUCUUAGUAGCGUGUUCUUAGCGUGUGCUUGGCAUGUUCUUGGCAUGUGCUUGGCGUGUGCUGGGGGCACUGUCCUCAGGGGGUCCUCUGGGUGUCCUUAUAGCGUCCUUAUGGCAUCCUUAGGGUGUCCUUAGGGUGGUUUUGAUGUCUUAGCGUGUUCUUGGCGUGUGCUGGGAGUGGUGUCCCUGGGGUGCCCUUAGAGUGUCCUUUGGGUGGUUUUGGUGUCUUAUUAGUAUGUCCUUAGCGUGCUCUUAGCAUGUCCUUAGCAUGUUAUUCUCUUUACUGUGACUCGUAGCGUGUCCUUUGCACGUCCUUAGUGUGUUUUUGUGCUUCACUGUGCGUGUUCAUAGCACGUUUUAAGCGUGUCUUUAGCAUGUCUUCCCCCAGGGGUGGUUGUGGUGUCUUAUUAGUAUGUCCUUAGCGUGCUCUUAGCAUGUCCUUAGCAUGCUAUUCUCUUUACCAUG